GGGCUUAUAAUUAGGCACCCAACUAAUACCCAAAUGAAUUUAGGUUAGGUUCAAGACUAUGGACCUAAUCCAAUCGAAGUCUAGAGAAGAAUUGGGUUUAACCAUGUGCUAGCAUGGUUCUCUUAAAUCUAAUAGGAUUUUAAUAAAUCCUAACCCAAUUAGAACUUCAUAAGCCCAAUUGGCAAAUUCAAGAUUAAAUCCUUAAUGUGUGAUCCCAUAGGUUCCAUUCUAUCUGGUAGUGAGAUAUGUUGUGAUCUCC
rnacentral:lncRNA from 1 species